UUCCGGUUGAUCCUGCCGGACCUUACUGCUAUCGGGGUGGGACUAAGACAUGCGAGUCACGCGUCUCUAGCUAUGUUGAGACGCGGCAGACGGCUCAGUAACGCGUGGCUAACCUGCCCUCAGGACGAAGAUAACCCCGGGAAACUGGGGAUAAUACUCGAUAGGUGAGAAUGUCUGGAAUGACUUUUCUCCUAAAGGACUUAGAUACAUGCUUCUAUUUCGCCUGGGGAUGGGGCCGCGCCCGAUCAGGUUGUUGGUGAGGUAACGGCUCACCAAGCCUAUAACCGGUACGGGCCGUGAGAGCGGUAGCCCGGAGAUGGGUACUGAGACAAGGACCCAGGCCCUACGGGGCGCAGCAGUCGCGAAAACUCCGCAAUGCACGAAAGUGUGACGGGGCUACCCCGAGUGCCAUCCGCUGAGGAUGGCUUUUCUUUGGUAUAACUAGCCAUUGGAAUAAGGAGAGGGCAAGACUGGUGUCAGCCGCCGCGGUAAUACCAGCUCUCCGAGUGGUAGGGAUGAUUAUUGGGCUUAAAGCGUCCGUAGCCGGCUUAGCAAGUUUCCUGUUAAACUCAGCGACUCAAUCGUUGGAUCGCGGGAAAUACUACUAGGCUAGGAGGCGGGAGAGGUCAACGGUACUUCUGGGGUAGGGGUGAAAUCCUAUAAUCCCGGGAGGACCACCAGUGGCGAAGGCUGUUGACUAGAACGCGCUCGACGGUGAGGGACGAAAGCUGGGGGAGCGAACCGGAUUAGAUACCCGGGUAGUCCCAGCUGUAAACUAUGCGAGCUAGGUGUUGAGAUGGCUACGGGCCAUUUCAGUGCCGCAGGGAAGCCAUUAAGCUCGCCGCCUGGGGAGUACGGCCGCAAGGCUGAAACUUAAAGGAAUUGGCGGGGGAGCACCACAAGGCGUGAAGCUUGCGGUUCAAUUGGAUUCAACGCCGGA
rnacentral:rRNA from 1 species